UACGUAGGGUGCAAGCGUUGUCCGGAAUUAUUGGGCGUAAAGAGCUCGUAGGCGGUUUGUCGCGUCUGCUGUGAAAACGCGAGGCUCAACCUCGCGCCUGCAGUGGGUACGGGCAGACUAGAGUGCGGUAGGGGAGAUUGGAAUUCCUGGUGUAGCGGUGGAAUGCGCAGAUAUCAGGAGGAACACCGAUGGCGAAGGCAGAUCUCUGGGCCGUAACUGACGCUGAGGAGCGAAAGCGGGGGGAGCAAACAGG
rnacentral:rRNA from 1 species